AUACGGAGGUUGCAAGCGUUGUUCGGAAUAACUGGGCGUAAAGGGAGCGCAGGCGGUUUGAUAAGUCUGAAGUGGAAGCCCGGGGCUCAACCCCGGAAGGCCUUUGGAAACUGUCAGACUUGAGUUCGUGAGAGGAGAGUGGAAUUCCAGGUGUAGCGGUGAAAUGCGUAGAUAUCUGGAGGAACAUCGAUGGCGAAGGCAACUCUCUGGCACGAUACUGACGCUGAGGCUCGAAAGCGUGGGGAGCGAACAGGAUUAGAAACCCCAGUAGUCC
rnacentral:rRNA from 1 species